GAUGAAGAACGUAGCGAAAUGCGAUAAGUAAUGUGAAUUGCAGAAUUCCGUGAAUCAUCGAAUCUUUGAACGCACAUUGCGCCCCCUGGUAUUCCGGGGGGCAUGCCUGUCCGAGCGUCAUUGCAACCUUCAAGCGCGGCUUGUGUGUUGGGUCUCGUCCCCCGUGGACGGGCCCGAAAGGCAGUGGCGGCGUCCCGACAUGGUGCCCGAGCGUAUGGGAAUCCUCUUCCGCUCGAAUCGGCCCAUGCGGCGCUGGUCGUAACCAAAUUUUUUACCGGUUGACCUCGGAUCAGGUAGGGAUACCCGCUGAACUUAAGCAUAUCAAUAAGCGGAGGA
rnacentral:misc_RNA from 1 species